rnacentral:rRNA from 1 species
CUUUUGGAGCNGCCGAUGUCUGAUUAGCUAGUUGGUAAAGGUAAUGGCUUACCAAGGCGACGAUCAGUAGUUGGUCUGAGAGGACGGCCAGCCACACUGGGACUGAGACACGGCCCAGACUCCUACGGGAGGCAGCAGUGGGGAAUUUUGGACAAUGGGCGCAAGCCUGAUCCAGCAAUGCCGCGUGAGUGAAGAAGGCCUUCGGGUUGUAAAGCUCUUUCAGUCGAGAAGAAAAGGUUGUGACUAAUAAUCACAACUAAUGACGGUAUCGACAGAAGAAGCACCGGCUAACUACGUGCCAGCAGCCGCGGUAAUACGUAGGGUGCGAGCGUUAAUCGGAAUUACUGGGCGUAAAGGGUGCGCAGGCGGUUUUGUAAGUCAGAUGUGAAAUCCCCGGGCUUAACCUGGGAACU